CCCUUAGAUGUUCUGGGCCGCACGCGCGCUACACUGAUGCAUUCAACAAGCCUAGCCUUGACCGAGAGGUCCGGGUAAUCUUUGAAACUGCAUCGUGAUGGGGCUAGAUUAUUGCAAUUAUUAAUCUUCAACGAGGAAUGCCUAGUAAGCGUGAUUCAUCAAAUCGCGUUGAUUACGUCCCUGCCCUUUGUACACACCGCCCGUCGCUCCUACCGAUUGAAUGUGUUGGUGAGGAGCUCGGAUUGGCAGCAGUUGGUGGUUCGCCACCGGCUAUUGCUGAGAAGUCCUCCAAACCGCCCCAUUUAGAGGAAGGAGCAGUCGUAACA
rnacentral:rRNA from 1 species